rnacentral:rRNA from 1 species
UACAGAGGGGGCAAGCGUUGUUCGGAAUUACUGGGCGUAAAGGGCGCGUAGGCGGCCUGCUAAGUCGAACGUGAAAUCCCUGGGCUCAACCCAGGAACUGCGUCCGAUACUGGUUGGCUUGAAUCCGGGAGAGGGACGUGGAAUUCCAGGUGUAGCGGUGAAAUGCGUAGAUAUCUGGAGGAACACCGGUGGCGAAGGCGGCAUUCUGGACUGCAACUGACACUGAAGAACGAAAGCCAGGGGAGCAAACGGG